UAGGGAAUCUUCGGCAAUGGGGGGAACCCUGACCGAGCAACGCCGCGUGAGUGAAGAAGGUUUUCGGAUCGUAAAGCUCUGUUGUUAAGGAAGAACGAGUGUGAGAAUGGAAAGUUCAUGCUGUGACGGUACUUAACCAGAAAGGGACGGCUAACUACGUGCCAGCAGCCGCGGUAAUACGUAGGUCCCGAGCGUUGUCCGGAUUUAUUGGGCGUAAAGCGAGCGCAGGCGGUCAAUUAAGUCUGAUGUGAAAGCCCCCGGCUCAACCGGGUAGUGUCAUUGGAAACUGGUUGACUUGAGUGCAGAAGAGGAGAGUGGAAUUCCAUUUGUGACGGUGAAAUGCGUAGAUAUAUGGAGGAACACCAGUGGCGAAGGCGACUCUCUGGUCUGUAACUGACGCUGAGGCUCGAAAGCGUGGGUAGCAAACAGG
rnacentral:rRNA from 1 species